GCGGGAGUAGCUCAGUUGGUAGAGCUUCAGCCUUCCAAGCUGAAUGUCGCGAGUUCGAGCCUCGUCUCCCGCUCCA
rnacentral:tRNA from 30 species